rnacentral:rRNA from 1 species
GACGAACGCUGGCGGCGUGCUUAACACAUGCAAGUCGAGCGAAAAGACGCGGCUUUUGUUCGUUGGUCGUUUGGCGAAGACGGGAGUGACACAUGAGUAACCUCCCCUUAUCAUUCUGAGAACAUCACGGGAAUGCGGCUCUAAUCCCGGAUAAUCUCCUGAAGCGCAUGGUUCGAUGGUAAAAGUCGGCUGUUGUGGAUGGACUCGCUGCUUAUCAGCUGCAUGGGGUGGUUGGGGCGUACCAGGUCUUUGAAGGCUAGGCUGCCUUGGAGCGUGAACGGCCACCUUGGGACUGCGAUACGGACCAGUAGGCUACGGGAGGCAGCAGUGGGGAACAUUGCACAAUGGGCGGACGCCUGAUGCAGCAACGCCGCGUGCGGGAUGACGGCUUUCGGGUUGUAAACCACUUUGGACUGUGCCGAAGCCUGAGUGACGGUAAUGGGUAAAGAAGCAACGGCUAACUACGUG